rnacentral:rRNA from 1 species
UACAGGGGGGGCAAGCGUUGUUCGGAAUUACUGGGCGUAAAGGGCUCGUAGGUGGCCAACUAAGUCAGACGUGAAAUCCCUCAGCUUAACUGGGGAACUGCGUCUGAUACUGGAUGGCUUGAGUUUGGGAGAGGGAUGCGGAAUUCCAGGUGUAGCGGUGAAAUGCGUAGAUAUCUGGAGGAACACCGGUGGCGAAGGCGGUUCUCUGGGCAUUACCUGACGCUGAGGAGCGAAAGUGUGGGGAGCGAACAGG